UACGGGGGGAGCAAGCGUUGUUCGGAUUUACUGGGCGUAAAGGGCGCGUAGGCGGUCAGCACAAGUCAGUUGUGAAAUCUCCGGGCUUAACUCGGAAAGGUCAACUGAUACUGUGCGACUAGAGUGCAGAAGGGGGCAACUGGAAUUCUCGGUGUAGCGGUGAAAUGCGUAGAUAUCGAGAGGAACACCUGCGGCGAAGGCGGGUUGCUGGGCUGACACUGACGCUGAUGCGCGAAAGCCAGGGGAGCGAACGGG
rnacentral:rRNA from 1 species